UUUUUUUUUUUUUUUUUUGUCCCCAGCCACUCCUGCAGCAUAUGGAAGUCCUCAGGCCAGGAAUCAAAUCCGAGCCAGAGCUGUGGCCUAUGCCAUAGCUGCAGCAAUGCUGGAUUCUUAAUCUACUGUGCAGGGCUGGGCAUCGAACCGGUGCCUCCACAGAGACAAGCCGGAUUAUUAACCCACUUCCCUGCAACAGAAAAUCCUGAGAACUUCUUCUUGAUGUGAAAGCUUUGCUCUUGGCCAUCCCUGGUGGAGUAGCUUUCACCACCUCCUACCAGCCCCUUCGGUGAGAUCUCUGCUCUUUCACUGCUAUGGCUGUCAAGAAGGAGUCAUGGGGACUUUGGAGCUGGCAGAGUACAUCCCUUGCUAUUGGCAGGGUUCUGGCAUCAGGUGUUCCAAGGGGUGGGUUGGUGCUGCUGUAUCUUCAGUGGACUUAUUUCUUUCGCUAUCACAAAGUCAAUAGAAAUAUACCACUGCACCAGGAAAAAAAAUGUUAAUGUAGAGUCUAUUAGCUAUGCUUCUGCCUUCAACAGUUACUCGAGCUUCACCCUUUGCUAGAUGCUUCCUACACUGAGGAAGGAAUUCAGUGAGAUCUUAAUCUUCAAGGACAGCAUAUGCUCCUGAGGAUAAAUCUCAUAGCAGAGGAAGGGGAAACCUUUUAAAGAAUGAUUAACCUACAGAUGGGAAAAAACAAGGGCCUUCCUAGAAGCAGUUUUUAAAAUGCGAAAUAUGAAACCUUCCCUAAAAAAUUAGGAGCAGGGAAAACGCAAGGCUAUACAUUAGCAAGCACACAUGUUGAGAUUUCAGUUAUGUGAGGCCAUAUGGAAAUGGGUGUCGUGUGAUAUCCGUGUAACUGGAAAAAGAUAAAAUCUUAUCUAUCAAAGACCUGAAGGCCAUAAUUUUAUUCCUUUUCUAAUAUAAGCAUUGUGGGUUUUUUUUGAGUGGGAAAAAUCCGCUAUUUUAAAAAGACAGAACAUCGCUAGUAUUUAUUAUGAGAAACUAGUCCAUGCUAGCUACGUUUUGGAAUUUUUUGAAAUACAGCUUGUUUCCUUUUCAUUUAGGUAGUAUUUAUUAUGCUCUUACUUCAUGCCUUGUACUAUGGGUGACUCUAAGGAGAAUGUAGAAGAUAUAAAAUACAGUUGUAUCCCUCUGGGAAUACAGGCUAUUUGAAGAGAUUACAGUUACAACAGUGAAAACCAGUGUAUGGUUAAGGACAAAAUAUAAAGAGAUAAUAAGUGGUCUUGAAACUCAGGGGCGAUCCUCUUGGUCCAGAGGGGCUGGUGUGCAGUAGCUGUUUGGACAUUCCAGCCUCGUUUACUGCCCGCCUUCUGGACCCUGUUGCGUCUCUGCUAUUUUUGUUCUGUGCUACACUCCCAUGCACGGUUUACCUGGCCUCUGACUCCUCUGGCUUUGGCUCUUGUCAUUGCCUCUCGGACUCUACAGAUUUAUCUUUCACAACCUUGACCCUCCAUCUUUUCCCUUAGGGUGUCAUGAGUUCUCGUUCAUGUUCUGUCUGACCUUGGCCUCUGGAGGUAAACAUAGUGCCCUCCCCCACAGUGGCCCAUUUGGAAUCACUCUGCCCUGUCUGGCUUCUUACCAGGUGUCUACAUCUCUAUAUCCUGUCGGUACCUCAAUUCAAGGUGCCCUGAACAGAUUUCAUUAUCUCUGUUCUUUCUCUCUUCCAAAAAUGUGUGGUAUCUUUUUCCCCUCUGUAUCUUCGAGUCUGGGUACCACCAUCGACCCUGCUGCCCACCAUCAAACAUAUGGAUAAUCACCAUCUUUCCUUUGACUGGGCAUUCAACUGCUUACCAGAAAUACCUAUGGCCCCAGGUCUCUGCUCCUAGUCUCCUCUACCUCCCUGGAUGCUCAGGGUGGCAGAGCCACCUCUGUCUUCUAGAGGAGGCCCUCCCUCAUGAUAUCCCUCCAGAACUCCUUAGAGUUUGCCUUCUGCUGCCUCUUGGUCCACUAUAGUCAAAGCUCAGACUGGUGGGUAUGCUAAAGAAGAGCCCCUUCCUAAUUUGUGCCCAUCUGCCUCUUGAUCUCCUCUCAGCCACACCCUCUCCCCUUGAUAAGGAUGGAGUAGAAUAGUUACACAGGUAGUUGUCGAAGUCCCAAUAAGGGACCACAGACACAGAGGGAAACCUAGGGAACUUUGGGAGAUCACUGUAAGUUAAUAAUUGCUCAAGAAAGCCAUCAGACUGCUUGCUUGACUAGUGGAGGCACUGCGAUGAUAUGCCUCAGGUCAUUGGGUGGGGAAUGGGGGAUGGGGUGAGGCCCGCAUUCAGGUUCACACCAAUGCUAGGGGUCUAAUCAGAGCUGUAGCCACUGGCCUACACCAGAGCCACAUCAAUAAGGGAUCCAAGCUGCUUCUGCAACCUACACCACAGCUCAUGGCAACGCUGGAUCCUUAACCCACUGAGCGAGGCCAGGGAUCGAACCCACAACCUCAUGGUUCCUAGUUGGAUUCGUUAACCACCGAGCCACAAUGGGAACUCUGUAAGCUCCGAUUUGAUCCCUAGUCUGGGAACCUCCAUAUGCUGCGGGAGUGGCCCAAGAAAUAGCAAAAAGACAAAAAAAAAAAAAAAAAAAAAAAAAAAAAAAGAAGAUACAAAUAUUGCAUGUUAAAAUAAAAAACAUAAAUUUAUGAAUAUUCUGUCUAGUUGGUCUUGGAGUUAAAUGGCACAGUGGGGACAGGAGAUCUCGUGUUCGUUUUUGCAGCCUUUGUAAAGUCUUGAGUUAUAUGGGUUAAAUUUAACAUAGUUUUAAAAUCUAACGCAAGUUGGUGGUUGAAGCAAAGCAGCCACCUAAUGGAAUGCAUAGUCUUUAAAGAAAUUAUCAUAUUUCUUAAUUAUUUUAAAAUCAUUAAGUGUCUACAUGACUUUUUUACAAAUCCAAAACUACAUUCUUCCAGGUUUUUAAAAAAUUGUCUUAUAGUUACAGCUUUUGUCUAUAUUUUAUAAUCUCUUAAAUUGUUAACUCCCUGGAGUUCCUGCCGUGGCUCAGUGGUUAUCAAACCCGACUAGCAUCCUUGAGGAUGUGGGUUUGAUCCCUGCGCUCGCUCAGCAGGUUAAGAAUCUGGCGUUGCUGUGAACUGUGGUGUAGGUCACAGACGCGGCUUGGAUCUGGUGUUGCUUUGGCUGUGGCUAAGGCUCUGAUUUGACCCCUAACCGAGGAACCAUCAUAUGCCAUGGGUGCGGCCCUGAAAAGACAAAGAGGCAAAAAGAAUAAAAAAUAAAAUAAAUAUAAUUGACUCUGUGUCCAAGGGAACACAACUACGAAAGGCUGAACGUUUCUUGAUGAUAAAUCUGAGGUUAGUUUUUCUUUUGACUUUGACUCAAACCCCAUGGAGUUUAAGUGAAAAAAAAAAAAAUCCCUCGCUUUAGGUCAUGGAUCAUGUGGAAGGUGACAGCCUGGUGCAUGGGGCUCUACCCACCCCUGAGCUGUCGCACCAUUGGCUUCUAAGGACCUGGUGAGGGUCUUAGCUCCAGGAUUCAUUUUAAAUGCAAUAUAGAUGUUUCCAUCUAGAAAUGUUCUUCCAACUUUUUAGUGUCCUCAGGGGAGGUAUAGAUGUUGGAACAUAGUGUAUUUAGAAUUCACAUUCCAGCAGUGUAGAUAUGAAACAGGACUCCAGUAGGCAUGUUUGAAAUUGAGGGAUUUUUGUUAAGUGAGGAUUCUGAUUUCACCCUGAGGUUAUCAGCAAAGGGUGGAGGGAGGAGGGAAGGGGAGGCUGGGAGAUGGAAAGGGUGUGUGGGAGAGUAAGCUCCUGACAUUGAGUUCAUUCUGCAGUGUAUGCCUGGGGUCUUGGCACCUGUGAGAAGAAGCCUGUGUUGAGUAUGGGGUGCCCUGUCUCACUCGCUCAUUCUAGAGGUUCAGUAAAUGUGGUUUAUUGCAUCCCACAAUCUUUAUAGUAAAGCAUUGCACCUUGUCCUUGGGAACACCUGUUUGAAGAUCUGUCCACAUUUUCUGAGCACUCGUUUCAGGAAGGUCCUUCUUACUUUCCAGCUCAAAUAUUACUCCUUUCUAUAAGAUGAUGUUUGCAGUCUUAGUUUUCAGAUAGACAGACAUUACUCAAGACUUUACCUUGGGAGUUCUCUUGCGACACAGUAGGUUAAGGGUCUGGCAUUGUCACUGCAAUGUCUUGGGUUGCUGCUAUGGCAUGGGUUUGAACCCUGGCCCAGGAACUUCCAUAUGUUGCAGGCGUGG
rnacentral:lncRNA from 1 species